UUACUUUGCACCUUUUUCUUAAGUUGGUUAAGUGCUGGAAUUAUUUAGGAAUAAUAUUAUAGAUUCUUGUUGAUCGGUGUCCGGUGAUGGGUACAGAUAAUGCUACUCUUGAUGUAAAUUUUGUAAUUCUUGAUAGAAACAUUUGAUGCCAAGUGAUAAUUAUUGUUGUAUCUUUGAACAGCUAAGAGCAGGUGGGAAAAUUUUUUUCCUUUGGUCUGGGAAAGUACCUUAGGGACCCAUUAUUAAUACUGAAGACAAAGAGAAGAUGGAAAUAUGGAUCUAGAGGCCCAUUUUCUCCUAGCAAGAACUUGGUGAAAAUUUUGAUGUGCAGUGGAGGAGAUUCUCCAGAUGUCCUUUUCUUAGUGUAUUAUGAGUACCUAACUGAUCAAAGGGAGAUUUGAAGAAUAAUGUACAGUACCACUCGUUUCCUCUUUCUCUCUGUUCCACCCUCUCCCUUUUUUAAUUUUCAAUUUGCUGGAGUUACAUGGUGAUCAGGGUAUUUAAUAUUUUGUGAAGCUCAUCUCCAUCAGUCACAUAAUGUUCUAUCAAAUAAGAAGUCUCAACUACUAAGGGAUUGGAAUGACACUGGUGCAACCUAUGACUGACUUGUGUUAGGCCUAGAUCAUGUACAUUAUAUCUGAAUAGUCACACAAGCCUCUAAUACUCUAUAUUUGAGACCUUGGUAUCAUGAACUAACUUAGAAGUAAGCUUGGAUUUUUCUGAUCAGUGCCUAUAUUUACUUUCAAAAUAAAUAAUUGUGGAUAUCAUUCUUACACUUCCUGACAAAUGCUAUCAUUCUUUCAUUUACUAUAUAAUUACUAGAUCUUUAGCUCAAAUGGUAGAGCAAUUGAGAGGAGCUCAUCUCUAGUACAUUUCAAGAGGUGGUGGUUCGAAUCCACCAAGAUCCAUGUGACAAAGGAAUGCAUCUUAUCUGUGAAACCCCUCAAAUAGAACGAAUGAUUGUAUGAUACCCAGUGUGCAUCAUUUGCCACUUUUUCUAGUAGUGUGUUAUGUAAACUAAGAGAUGUGAUCCUAUCUUGGAUGUCUUUAUGAUAGUUGGGUUGAUUUGCUUCCCCUCUUAUUGUUAAUUUUUGUUAUUGCUAUACAUUAGUGAAUUAUAUGCUUUCGUUCAACUUGAGAGGUUAAUUCAAUAUAUUAACUAAUAUUUUCCCAUCAACCUAUUGGAAUACAUCCAGCUAAGUGCUACCCAUUGGUGUUUACCUUUUAAAAAAAGUUAAAGUAGGAUAAUAGUGUACGCAUUGUGUGAUCCACUCAGGUCAGGGUAUUUAGUCAAUACUCCUUGUUGACACGUUGCUGCAUGGGUUGGUGCUUGGGCUGCCUUUUACACCUUCAAUUUUUUUUCAUAAACAGGAGCUCUUCAGGUGAAUUCUUUUGUAAAGCAAGCCAUUGAGUACAUUGUCCAGGUCCAUUCGCUACAUAAGAUGAUGCCACUUUAAGCUACACUUAAGGAAUGAAAGGUCAAUCUUGGCGAUUCAUUGAUUUCUCAAGUGCCCUUCCAUGUAUUAAUUUUUUUAUGCAUUACAUGAAAAUAAGGUGAUAUAAUCCAUCUAUUUUUCUCAUUUAUACU